UCGGGAAUUUUGGGCAAUGGGGGAAACCCUGACCCAGCAACGCCGCGUGAAGGAUGAAGUAUUUCGGUAUGUAAACUUCGAAAGAAUAGGAAGAAUAAAUGACGGUACUAUUUAUAAGGUCCGGCUAACUACGUGCCAGCAGCCGCGGUAAUACGUAGGGACCAAGCGUUGUUCGGAUUUACUGGGCGUAAAGGGCGCGUAGGCGGCAUGACAAGUCACUUGUGAAAUCUCUGGGCUUAACCCAGAACGGCCAAGUGAUACUGUCGCGCUAGAGUGCAGAAGGGGCAAUCGGAAUUCUUGGUGUAGCGGUGAAAUGCGUAGAUAUCAAGAGGAACACCGAUGGCGAAGGCAAUCCCCUGGACCUGUACUGACGCUCAUGCACGAAAGCGUGGGGAGCAAACAGGAUUAGAUACCCCCGUAGUCCCUGAGCGGGCUGGCAAGGCGCAU
rnacentral:rRNA from 1 species